GACGAACGCUGGCGGCGUGCUUAACACAUGCAAGUCGAACGGUGAAGGGAUCAGCUUGCUGGUUCUGGCUGAGUGGCGAACGGGUGAGUAACACGUGAGUAACCUGCCCCCUUCUUCUGGAUAACCGCAUGAAAGUGUGGCUAAUACGGGAUAUUCUGGGUCUGUCGCAUGAUGGGUCUGGGAAAGAUAUUGUUUCGGUGGGGGAUGGGCUCGCGGCCUAUCAGCUUGUUGGUGGGGUGAUGGCCUACCAAGGCGGUGACGGGUAGCCGGCCUGAGAGGGUGGACGGUCACACUGGGACUGAGACACGGCCCAGACUCCUACGGGAGGCAGCAGUGGGGAAUAUUGCACAAUGGGCGCAAGCCUGAUGCAGCGACGCCGCGUGAGGGAUGGAGGCCUUCGGGUUGUAAACCUCUUUCGCCAGUGAAGCAGGCCUGCUCCUUGUGGGUGGGUUGACGGUAGCUGGAGAAGAAGCGCCGGCUAACUACGUG
rnacentral:rRNA from 1 species